GACGAACGCUGGCGGCGUGCUUAACACAUGCAAGUCGAACGGAAAGGCCCUGCUUUUGUGGGGUGCUCGAGUGGCGAACGGGUGAGUAACACGUGAGUAACCUGCCCUUGACUUUGGGAUAACUUCAGGAAACUGGGGCUAAUACCGGAUAGGAGCUCCUGCUGCAUGGUGGGGGUUGGAAAGUUUCGGCGGUUGGGGAUGGACCCGCGGCUGAUGAGCUUGUUGGUGGGGUAGUGGCUUACCAAGGCUUUGACGGGUAGCCGGCCGGAGAGGGUGACCGGCCACAUUGGGACUGAGAUACGGCCCAGACUCCUACGGGAGGCAGCAGUGGGGAAUAUUGCACAAUGGGCGGGAGCCUGAUGCAGCAACGCCGCGUGCGGGAUGACGGCCUUCGGGUUGUAAGCCGCUUUCGCCUGUGACGAAGCGUGAGUGACGGUAAUGGGUAAAGAAGCACCGGCUAACUACGUG
rnacentral:rRNA from 1 species